rnacentral:miRNA from 1 species
GGACAGUCUCAGGUAGACA